GUCGUCUGUUCCUAUCCUGGUGCUGAACAAGGUGCCAAGGGUGGGGCUGUUCGCCCAUUAAAAGGAAUCCUGAGAUGGGUUCACUACGUCGCGAGACAGUAGGGUUGCUUCUCCGUGGGAGUGUUCGAUGUCUGAAGGGAAGGAGCCUUUAGUACGAGAGGAACGGGGGUUCGUGACUUCUGGUUUACCGGUUGUCUGGCAAGGCACCGCCGGGUAGCCACGUCAUUCGCGGAUAAAAGCUGAAAGCAUCUAAGCUUGAAGCCGCCCCUGAAAAUAGACAUCGUUUGAGA
rnacentral:rRNA from 1 species